rnacentral:rRNA from 1 species
UACGGAGGGGGCCAGCGUUGUUCGGAAUCAUUGGGCGUAAAGGGCGCCUAGGCGGCGAAGCAAGUCGGACGUGAAAGCCCCCGGCUCAACCGGGGAAUUGCAUCCGAAACUGCUUUGCUCGAGUCCUGGAGAGGGUAGCGGAAUUCCCGGUGUAGCGGUGAAAUGCGUAGAUACCGGGAGGAACACCGGUGGCGAAGGCGGCUACCUGGACAGGUACUGACGCUGACGCGCGAAAGCGUGGGGAGCAAACAGG